rnacentral:rRNA from 1 species
GUGAGGAAUUUUCCGCAAUGGGCGAAAGCCUGACGGAGCAAUGCCGCGUGAAGGAUGAAGGCCUAUGGGUUGUAAACUUCUUUUCUCAGAAAAGAAUUAUGACGGUAUCUGAGGAAUAAGCAUCGGCUAACUCUGUGCCAGCAGCCGCGGUAAGACAGAGGAUGCAAGCGUUAUCCGGAAUGAUUGGGCGUAAAGCGUCUGUAGGUUGUUUAAAAAGUAUUCUGUCAAAGAUUAGGGCUUAACCCUAGAUAGGCAGAAUAAACUUUUAAGCUAGAGUGUGGUAGAGGCAGAGGGAAUUCCCGGUGGAGCGGUGAAAUGCGUAGAUAUCGGGAGGAACACCAAAGGCGAAGGCACUCUGCUGGGCCAAUACUAACACUGAGAGACGAAAGCGAGGGGAGCAAAUGGGAUUAGAAACCCCAGUAGUCC